rnacentral:lncRNA from 1 species
CUCCCUUCCUCUCUCUCUCUCUGGGUUCUUUGCAAUGAAAAAUCGAGCCACUCACCCCACCUGUUCACGUAUCAGGCCUUUUAAAGGCUUAAAAAUCCAGUUAGAACAGGAAACAGACUCCUAAGAGCACCCAAACAAGCCUCCUGACCAUUGGAUCUCGAUCGAAAGCAACCAGGGCCAUCGGAUUGCGAUCGAUCCAUAGAACAGUGUUGUG